rnacentral:miRNA from 1 species
GAACAGGAGUAGGCCAUUUGG